rnacentral:rRNA from 1 species
GAUCCUGGACUCAGGAUGAACGCUAGCUACAGGCUUAACACAUGCAAGUCGAGGGGAAACGACAUCGAAAGCUUGCUUUUGAUCGGGCGUCGACCGGCGCACGGGUGAGUAACGCGUAUCCAACCUGCCCACCACUUGGGGAUAACCUUGCGAAAGUAAGACUAAUACCCGAUGAUAUCCCUAGAAGACAUCUGAAAGGGAUUAAAGAUUUAUCGGUGAUGGAUGGGGAUGCGUCUGAUUAGCUGUUGCGGGUAACGGCCCACCAAGGCAACGAUCAGUAGGGGUUCUGAGAGGAAGGUCCCCCACAUUGGAACUGAGACACGGUCCAAACUCCUACGGGAGGCAGCAGUGAGGAAUAUUGGUCAAUGGGCGAGAGCCUGAACCAGCCAAGUAGCGUGCAGGAUGACGGCCCUAUGGGUUGUAAACUGCUUUUAUAAGGGAAUAAAGUGAGUCUCGUGAGACUUUUUGCAUGUACCUUAUGAAUAAGGACCGGCUAAUUCCGUG